rnacentral:lncRNA from 1 species
GCUGUAUUCAAAAAGAGUACUUCUCUGUGAUAGACUGUACUUACGUAAAAAUAAAUAUGCGGAUAAAUACAAGCCAACAUCUUUGAACUGAUGAAGAACUCAAGGUCACCAGUAAUCUGUCUCAGAUUUUAAUAUGUGAAUCACAAGGCUCUAUUACAUACUUUGAGCUACCCAAUUUACAUCAGGUAUAAUCACUGUGAAAAUAGAUGCUAUAUCAAUUUUGGAAUUGAUGCUUGACAUUAUCUCUUAACUUAAAACUUUUUUUUUUUUUUUUUUUUUUUUUCAGGAGGAAAUGAAUAUGUUUGCAUUUUAGAAGGAAGCAUAUGAAACAAACCUUGCAUAACCUAGCAAGGUAUAGUGACACCUGCUAACUGAAAAAGCAUACAACUUUCUUUUAUAGUUCACCGGUAGACAUGAUGAAGUAUUCAAGCCCUAUAGUUUACUUCAGAAAUCAGUUGUCUGUUGAAAGAUAACAGCAACUACAGUUUGCAAGAAUCCGACUGAAAUUAUCCAUCACAUCCAGUGCAGAAGAGGUGAAGGAACAGUAUACCUCAGAAUAUCCAUAUCACAUCUGACCCUGAUUACUGAAGGGUUUUGUGCCUGAACUAUCAUAUCUUCCUGUUUUCCCAGUGAUUUAUUCUCUAUUCUUACUGUUACCCAAGUAAAUAUAAUAAACACUGACUGAAAUAAUGUA